GGGACUACUACCAGCUACCCUCAUGAAGAACACGACAGCAUGCAUACGCCUGGCCUAUAAGCCCAUGCAGGUGGUAGGCGCGCAUACUUCUCCAUCCCUGGUUGGUCAUCGUAUGGAUGUUCCAUAACCUUGAGUAGUCUAUGAAUCUCUCCGUAAUCACCUUGUUCGGCCGCAUCGAUAGCACUCUGGCAAAGAUAGUUUCGAAGUAUGUAUCUAGGGUUUACGGAAUUCAUCGCAGCUUUUCUUUGCUCGUCAGGGACACCACUGGAGACCAGCUCCUCGAUGUAUGUCUUCACCCAACUAGUCCAAGCUUCCUUUCUCUCUUUACCAAUGUCUAGCAAUGCCGCCUUCAGAGGAACUAGCAGCUCACUGUCGGGAAUGCUUUGGUCUGC
rnacentral:misc_RNA from 1 species